rnacentral:rRNA from 1 species
UGGGGAAUAUUGCACAAUGGGCGCAAGCCUGAUGCAGCAACGCCGCGUGAGGGACGACGGCCUUCGGGUUGUAAACCUCUUUUAGUAGGGAAGAAGCGAAAGUGACGGUACCUGCAGAAAAACGCACCGGCUAACUACGUGCCAGCAGCCGCGGUAAUACGUAGGGUGCGAGCGUUGUCCGGAAUUAUUGGGCGUAAAGAGCUCGUAGGCGGUCUGUCGCGUCUGCUGUGAAAAUCCCCGAGGCUCAACCUCGGGCCUGCAGUGGGUACGGGCAGACUAGAGUGCGGUAGGGGAGAAUGGAAUUCCUGGUGUAGCGGUGGAAUGCGCAGAUAUCAGGAGGAACACCGAUGGCGAAGGCAGUUCUCUGGGCCCGUAACUGACGCUGAGGAGCGAAAGCGUGGGGAGCGAACAGGAUUAGAUACCCUGGUAGUCCACGCCGUAAACGUUGGGCGCUAGAUGUGGGGCACCAUUCCACGGUUUCCGUGUCGCAGCUAACGCAUU